rnacentral:lncRNA from 1 species
AACGUGAUCAGAUUCGCGUUAUAAAAAGAUGCUUUUAUACUUCUUGAACCCCAUUAAUCAUGUUAUGAGAUUUCACUAUGUUGAAAUGUAAGUUCAUUAGCUUGCUUAUCUUUAAACACAAGGAGUCUGAACCCGUUUGAUAAAGUGUUUGAUUGAACCUUUCCUCUUCAUAAAACUGAUAUGUACGCUGUGACCAAGCUGUGAGCCAAUGCUUGUUUGUUUAAAUGAAAUACAGUAUAAUAUUUUGUAAAUAGACACAUAGUGCAAAAGUUAAUUGAAAACAAAUGUACAACAUUACACGAGGGGAAACACGUUCGAAAUCUGCCUUGAAAGAAUCCAAUCUUGUUCAUCCGGUUCUCUCGGCCGCUUUGAGCUAACAAGUCCUUAGAAAUCACGUCCUUCAGAAACCACGUCCUUCGCGACAUUUUAGAUAACCAGUAUACAUACUCCUUCGUGCAGAACAACAAUUAUUAUUCUAAAAUACGAUUGGCAAUUCAAAGAAGGUCAAUGAUAAUUGCGGAUAAAUAACUAUAGUGCGUCGCAAGUUGGGACAGUGACGACGACUCUUCUAUGACGAUGACCAACGUGAGAAUUCAAAGCAGUGACGGAUUUGAUGACACACAGGGAAUACAAAUUGAAUACUUUUAUUUUUGUGGUAGUCAUAGAGUUCGGGAAUUUUGUAACGUCUCGGGACCUUUGAAGACUACAUCCAUCAGUGCAAAUGCCGCAAGUUUUCACACAUGAAUUCGUAUUGGUACAGGUAUACACAAUGGAAUGAGGAACCUUGUAUUAUUCGUGCACUUGCUCGUUGCACAUUUAACAGUCAGCAUGUAGUCAUCCCACUAUUAUGUCAUUCGGAUCCUACAAGAAUAGACUUAACCAACGGUUCUCGAACUACAAAUACACAUGAACUUCUAACCAGAAUUUUCAAUUAUUAUAAUACGUCGGCAAAGAUAAUUGCAAUAAGUAUGAAAUACUUUAUAGAAGAGAAUGUGAAGAAAUUUCAAGAAGGAUUUCACUCUUUACGGUUAAGAAGCGACUCUUUUGAUAAUGGUAAUUUAUGGUAUGUUCAAUCGAUAUAUCAGCUGUCGAAACGGCAAAUUUAUCGCUACUGAGCCGAAGAAUUUGCUUUAAAUAAAAUGACCUCAGGAAAAUCGUACAUGGUAAUUGGAAGAGUAUGUUCUACUUUCCAAAUCAAUUAAUCGUGCGCAAGGUAUGCCUAGAUGCUCACGGGCGUUAACCUUCUACGACUUCAAUUUACAAGUUUCCAUUACACGUUUCACGGAUCAGCUGAGCAGAAAUUACACAAACUGGGCCAAGGGUACUCAUGAUAAGUUUCGAUUGAUUUCCAAUCGAUCACACGUUACUGAUAGCAUUCUUCGAAUGUUAUACAUUCAUUUUAUCUGAUGAUGUACUAAAUGAUGUCAACACAUAAUAUUUUCUCUGACAUUACCAUUCAUGCAAAAAAAGAAACAGUUUUUAUUUCGUUUAUUCAACAAUGAAGCUGUGCAGUCAAGCCAAACAUCGUUUUUCUUCGUUCGUGAACCAUGAAACGCUAACAGUUCCCACAAAUGCAUCUUGCAGUUUGAUUUCCAUUGAAUUACACGUUAAAUUGUUCUAAAAACGUGGUUUAAAAAUCGGCUGUAUCUUUGUACAUUGAUCUAUUUACGACAAACGGUAAACUAUCUAAUGUGAGAGUUCUGAAUUGACGAAUUGCAUCCAAAUGAAAUGUGGGACGAUCACGAACAGGAAACGGAUUUGUUCUGUGAUGAAAAAGGGAAUGGAAAUCACUUCCUCUUUUCCAUCGUAACGAUCGGAUGGUCAUCCGAGAUCUAAAGGUGUGGAAUCCGUUCCGGUCGACGUCAUAGUCGCCGGAUGCUUUUCGCUGACAAACAAAUUCUGAUGAACAGCUAUCAUUUUAAAUGUUUUUACGUCAUACUAGAAACACAUACGCAUUUCUAGUUUUAGAGUAGGUCGUAUAAAUAAGUGUAAUAUAAUCACGCAAGGAAAUCGGAAGCGGAUUGUAAAAAGUAGUUCGUUGCUGGCGUUUUUGGUAUCACGGUUUCCUUGAAAUCCAUCUGCGUGAUCGCAUACGAAAGUGGAUCCUUAAUUUUUGAAAUACUUUUUAACAGAGAUCAUCAGACAUCUUGGAACUAUUAUAAUUGCUUCGUCAUUAAUAAUAAACAAGACUGGCCAGAUAUCGGGCGAAAUUAUAUUCUGUUUUUUAAGGAACAUUAUGCUCUCCAAUAACUCAUAGAAAGGUUACGAUGCACAAUACAACAAAAUUUUUCACGUGUCCGUACGAAAUAUUAUAUAUUCGGCAAACUUGAAAAUACUAAUACAAACGUGUAUUGAUUAUGAUCAAAUUAUGCAUGCAGUAUUAACUGAGUUACGGUUUGUUGUCGGUAACGGUGUCAGCGAACAGGAUGAUUAUGCGUAAAACUUUUGGCGCCCAGAUUGGCGCGAAACUGUGGCGCCGCUUAAGAAUGCAGAACUAUUGGUCUAUGGAACAAUGUUGAAGACUGAUUAAUGAGUAUCAAAUUAUGGCUGUGAAUUCCCAAGAAUCGGUAUGUCGUUUCGGAAUGGCAAUUUGUUAAGGCGGAUAAACUGAAUUUAUCAAGUGGGCGUCUACAACCUCAUCGUCGGGAUACAAUUACACGUUUUUUGCAAGAAUUCCUUGGAUGGCCUUUGAAGGUUGUCGAGGAAUAUCCGUGAAAUAAAUUAUCGUGGAAUCAAGUCAGCACAUAUACAACAAAGAUUUAUCUACCGUACGAGAAGAAUCUAUUUUCUUUUUUAUUUUUACUAAUGCGUGAAAAAAAGUUACAAAUUCCGUGAGUCGCGUGGAAGUUUUCCACUAAACAGGUUUCUAUACUAUGUAUUUACAUACGUGUUUUGUACUGUUAUCAUACGUUUAAAGUCGAGAGUACGUGACCGUAGCGUAGGUCACAAAUAAGAAGUGAAGUUCCGUCUUGUGUCGGCUAGUUUUGCAUAUGGGUGCAAUAAAUCAUGAUAAAGCAGUCGAUGUGUUGUGUCCAUUGGCGUAGCUAUAGUUUCUGUCUAUCUUUUGGACCAUCUAGUUACGCCAAUGGAUGUGGAACAUUCUCCUCAACUGUAAACAGUGAGUAAUGCUUACUAAAAAGAACAUGCAGGUGUAGUCAUUGCUAAUCUUAUAGUUGCGUCUUGAGAUUGCUGACACAAUUAACGUAACCUUAUCAAUCUUGGACAUAUGCGUAUUGGCAAGGUUAUACGCAAGGACGUCGAGUAACGCGGAGCUAUCACCUUAGUUGUACUUUGAAGUCGACAAGUGUUAAACAAAUUUAUUCGAUCGAAACUUUGUUACUCUGACGUAUAAUUUCGAAAUAUAUAUGUUUUUUGUAAAUGUUACCUUUAUAAAUAAUGCGAAUUUUUAUUAUAUUUACACGAAUUCCUUCUACAUAAAUAAAAACUGUAUAGGUUCAAUGAUUGAUAUCGCCACAGGAGAUCUUUUAAAAGCGAAAGAUACUUUAUUAACAUUUUACUUCCAACAUGAUUUAUUCACUGGCGCAUUCAACCUUCGAGGGGUCCCAGGCGUUACCCAUUUUUGGGCCCUAUUUAUACCAUAAAAGCGAAACGUGUACAUACGUUAUAUUGUAAUGUAUGUACUGCGAGUCUUAACAAAUUUGCAUAAAAAUUUAACCGAGAAGAAAGUACAUAUUUAUUGCAUAAUACGAAAAAUUAUGAGAUAGAUAUUUCGUACAGAACACACGGGGACAAAUGAUCGAUUCGCAUAUCUUUUGAAAAUGGUUGACGUAAACUAUAAAAUAUUUAUAUGCCGGACGCAAUUUAAAUACGAUUUCGAACUAGUUUAAUGAAGUCCGAAUACAGGUAAACUUCUUAAUCCCCAGGGUAUUGACGUCAAUAUGACGAAUAUUGAAAAGUUGUAAAAUGUUAAGUUGGCGCCGUUUAGUCGGACAACGGAAUCGGUUUUAUGGAUACACGAUUACGGAUUCAAAUGUUUCCGAAAAUGAUGUGAAAGAUAGGCUCGCUUCUCUGUAUUCCUUUGACGGUAAUAAAGUACGGUAAAUGUUCUUUCAUUUCAUGCCUUUUAGCAUAUACAUGCACAACAGUAAAAUGGAAAUAAUAAUAUAAUGCUAUCACAAAUGUCAAUUUUUCUAUACUUAUAAUAUUACAGUUAGCGUUGGAUUCAAAUUUUAUAAGUAUUCCGUUAUUUAGUAUGAAUGUGUUUUUAGUCGCGUAUACGUCAUAUUUAUGUAGGUAUGAAAUGUUCUAUAAUACCAUCAUAAAUAAAUAUAAUAAAAAGUAGACACAUUUGUAAAUAUAAAAAUGUAUU